CAAGUCGUGCGCGAAGGUGGCUUCGGCCACCGGAGAGCGGCGGACGGGUGAGUAACACGUGGGUAAUCUGCCUAGGAGUGGGGAAUAACCUGGGGAAACUCGGGCUAAUACCGCAUACGUCGUCGGGACUGCGGUCCCGGCAAGAAAGCUGGCCUCUGCUUGCAUGCUAGCGCUCCUAGAGGAGCCCGCGGCUGAUUAGCUAGUUGGUGAGGUAAUGGCUCACCAAGGCGACGAUCAGUAGCCGGCCUGAGAGGGUGAACGGCCACACUGGGACUGAGACACGGCCCAGACUCCUACGGGAGGCAGCAGUGGGGAAUAUUGGACAAUGGGCGAAAGCCUGAUCCAGCAACGCCGCGUGGAGGACGAAGGUCUUCGGAUCGUAAACUCCUGUCAGAUGGGACGAAUGGACGUCGGUAAAUAGUCGACGUCUUUGACGGUACCGUCAGAGGAAGCCCCGGCUAACUCCGUGCCAGCAGCCGCGGUAAUACGGAGGGGGCGAGCGUUAUUCGGAAUUAUUGGGCGUAAAGGGCGCGUAGGUGGCCCUGUAAGUCAAAGGUGAAAUCCCUCGGCUCAACCGAGGAAUUGCCCUUGAAACUGCAGGGCUUGAGGCCGGGAGGGGGUAGCGGAAUUCCCAGUGUAGCGGUGAAAUGCGUAGAUACUGGGAGGAACACCGGUGGCGAAGGCGGCUACCUGGACCGGUUCUGACACUGAUGCGCGAAAGCGUGGGUAGCAAACAGGAUUAGAUACCCUGGUAGUCCACGCUGUAAACGAUGGGUGCUCGGUGUCGCGGGUAUCGACCCCUGCGGUGCCUUA
rnacentral:rRNA from 1 species